GACAGAGGGUGCAAACGUUGUUCGGAAUUACUGGGCGUAAAGCGAGUGUAGGCGGUUCGGUAAGUCGGAUGUGAAAGCCCCGGGCUCAACCCGGGAAGUGCACUCGAUACUGCCGAGCUAGAGUAUCGGAGAGGUUGGUGGAAUUCUCGGUGUAGAGGUGAAAUUCGUAGAUAUCGAGAGGAACACCGGUGGCGAAGGCGGCCAACUGGACGAAUACUGACGC
rnacentral:rRNA from 1 species